AGAGAGAGAGAGAGAGAGAGAGAGAGAGAGAGAGAGAGAGAGAGGAAUGUUAAGGAGUGGGGUUUUGGUGAUUGGAGAUACAGAGGGAGAGGGAGAUUUGGGCCUGUUGGCAUUGUGAUCGUUUGAGGGAAGUUCCUGCGCUGGAGCACAAGGCUCGGACAGCCUCAGACUCGGAGGGGCAGGCCUCAGAGAGCAGGCAUAUGGCGAGGGCGCGUCCAAUGUGAUCGCAGGCACCCGCAUGCAACCGCCGCCUGCACUCCCUAAAAGCCUCCUCCAUCUUCUGGCACGGAAGAAGACCCCAUUGUGACUUCAGAAGCGAGAGAGAGAGAUAUUAACUCAGUACAGUGCGGAGAGAGAAAGAUGGCGGGUUCUCUCUCAAGGUUAGAGGCAAACAGAGGGAAGAAUUGGAUUCCCUCUAAACUGUCGAGUGUCGUACAGAGAAACUUAAUUAGAUUCCAGGAGAGAAAGAGAGAGGUUUCUCUCUCUAGAAUUGAAUUAGACACGUCGG
rnacentral:lncRNA from 1 species